rnacentral:rRNA from 1 species
CUCCGGUUGAUCCCGCCGGACCCGACUGCUAUCAGAGUGGGACUAAGCCAUGCGAGUCAACAUAGCAAUAUGUGGCAUACGGCUCAGUAACACGUAGUCAACAUGCCCAGGGGACGUGGAUAACCUCGGGAAACUGAGGAUAAACCGCGAUAAGUCACUACUUCUGGAAUGGGUAAUGACUCAAAUCUACAUGGCCCCUGGAUUGGACUGCGGCCGAUCAGGCUGUUGGUGAGGUAAUGGCCCACCAAACCUGUAACCGGUACGGGCUCUGAGAGGAGGAGCCCGGAGAUGGGCACUGAGACAAGGGCCCAGGCCCUAUGGGGCGCAGCAGGCGCGAAACCUCUGCAAUAGGCGAAAGCCUGACAGGGUUACUCUGAGUGAUUUCCGUUAAGGAGAUCUUUUGGCACCUCUAAAAAUGGUGCAGAAUAAGGGGUGGGCAAGUCUGGCGUCAGCCGCCGCGGUAAUACCAGCACCCCGAGUGGUCGGGACGUUUAUUGGGCCUAAAGCAUCCGUAGCCGGUUCUACAAGUCUUCCGUUAAAUCCACCUGCUUAACAGAUGGGCUGCGGAAGAUACUAUAGGGCUAGGAGGCGGGAGAGGCAAGCGGUACUCGAUGGGUAGGGGUAAAAUCCGUUGAUCCAUUGAAGACCACCAGUGGCGAAGGCGGCUUGCCAGAACGCGCUCGACGGUGAGGGAUGAAAGCUGGGGGAGCAAGCCGGAUUAGAUACCCGGGUAGUCCCAGCUGUAAACGAUGCAGACUCGGUGAUGAGUUGGCUUAUUGCUAACUCAGUGCCGCAGGGAAGCCGUUAAGUUUGCCGCCUGGGGAGUACGGUCGCAAGACUGAAACUUAAAGGAAUUGGCGGGGGAGCA